GCUGCUGUGGCUCAGUGUAGAGCAUCCUCUUAUAGUAAACAUAUUCGACCAUCCACGCUUUAUGAGGAAGGUGUGGGUUCGAUUCCCCCAGCAGCA